rnacentral:rRNA from 1 species
UUUCGCAAUGGGCGAAAGCCUGACGAAGCGACGCCGUGUGAGCGAUGAAGGCCCUCGGGUUGUAAAGCUCUUUCGCCUGGGAACAAGAGAGG